rnacentral:lncRNA from 1 species
AUCUGAAAGUGAAAGGGGGCAGGGUAGAGACCUCUAGGGAGGGGUGCUCUGAAGCCAGGGAAAUAGGUUUCACCCCGGGCAGGCAGGUGGAAAGAGGGAGGGGUCUGCAUGCGCACAGAGUUUCUAGGCAGCGUGUGAGCUGUCUCCGCUGGGAGGGGCGAGGCUGUCACUCGCUGGGGCGUUAGAAGCCUGAGAGGCGCUUGGAAAACUUGGCCCUCCGGAGAAUCUGGUCACUCGCACUCCUCUGGGGACCUCAGAAGAAGGAGGACCUUUGGCCAUGGGUGAGUGUGCGAGCUGGUGCGGAUAAGUAGCCUAAAGGCUGGGCGUGGUGACGAGUGUUAU